AGUCGUAACAAGGUUUCUGUAGGUGAACCUGCAGAAGGAUCAUUAGUGAAAGUUUCGGGCCUGCCAUACGGACGCAAACACGUCUCUGGCGCCCAUCACUAUAUCCAUACCAACCCCUGUGCACUGUGAUGACGAAUGUCAUCGAACAAAAAAAAACUCGUAUGGUUGAAUGUACGUGAAAUUGUAGGUAUAGCCUACGAACUAUACACAACUUUCGACAACGGAUCUCUUGGUUCUCCCAUCGAUGAAGAACGCAGCGAAACGCGAUAGGUAAUGUGAAUUGCAGAAUUCCGUGAAUCAUCGAAUCUUUGAACGCACCUUGCGCUCCAUGGUAUUCCGUGGAGCAUGCCUGUUUGAGUGCCGCGAAUUCUCCCUCCCCUUACGGUGGCCGAAAGGCCGAAGUAGGGCGGACGGGGUAGGAUGGGUGUUUGCUGCCUGGGGAUUGUACCAGGCUCGCCCGAAAUGCAUAAGCGCCAGGACCCUCGCUACCGCUCUCUAGGGAAGAGUGGCUAAGCGACCGCUGAGCAUGGCAUGAUACGUCAUUUGCUGUGUGUGGGCGGCCGGUUGGAGAGGUGUCUGCUUUACCAGCCCUAUUUUAAUUCUGGUCUCAAAUCAGGUAGGAUCACCCGCUGAACCUAAGCAUAUCAAU
rnacentral:misc_RNA from 1 species